rnacentral:rRNA from 1 species
AUACGGAAGAUCCGAGCGUUAUCCGGAUUUAUUGGGUUUAAAGGGUGCGCAGGCGGCCAUUUAAGUCAGCGGUUAAAUCGUGGGGCUCAACCCCAUUCUGCCGUUGAUACUGGGUGGCUUGAUUGCGGUCGAGGUUGGCGGAAUUCGUUGUGUAGCGGUGAAAUGCAUAGAUAUGACGAAGAACACCGAUUGCGUAGGCAGCUGACCAGACCGCAAAUGACGCUCAUGCACGAAAGUGCGGGGAUCGAACAGGAUUAGAUACCCUGGUAGUCCGCACAGUAAACGAUGAAUACUUGUUUUCGGCGAUAUAAUGUCGGAGGCAAAGCGAAAGCGAUAAGUAUUCCACCUGGGGAGUACGCCGGCAACGGUGAAACUCAAAUGAAUUGACGGGG